UUGCACGUUCGCACGUCACUAGUUCACUGCACCUAUUAGGUACGAAUAUUAAUUUUUUUUCGCUCUUACCUGAAAACUCGAUAGCAAUUAAUCUAUUAUUGUAAUAAUUGUAGUAUAGGCUUAGUGCCUUAGUACAUAAGGUUCAUUAUAUAGUCAUGUUGCCAUAAAUCAUAAUAUAAUAUUUAUCAAUCGGAAUAUAAUAUUAUGUCAAUAUGAACGAGAACGACUUAUCAGUUAGAUAUGACUGAUAUGGGCUGAUCAUUUUUACCACGGUAUUCUGUUUUACCCACGGUUUAAGAUAUAACCGUUGUUUUACCUCAUUUUAUUUGUGUUUCACGCACGGUAAAAGCACAGAAUAAUGGUACUAUUAUGAUAGUAGUAUACUAGUAUCUAUAACCUAUAUGUUUCACUGAAAUUUCAAAAACUCAAGAAUUAAAGUAUAAUAGUAAAAAUUAAACAUUUUAGUAAUUUUGUUAUAAAUUUCAGAAUAUGUUAUAAGCCGGUGCGUUGUCAUCUUCGCUGUUCAAGUCGUAUUUGACGCGGACAUGUAUAUGUCUAAUUAUUUUUUUUAUUAAAGCCAAGGUUUUCGACUACAGCUGCAAACAAUAUAUAUAAAUUUGAAUGAGAAGUGGUCGAAAAAGAUGAAUUUCUAUCCCUAUCAUCUGAACGAGUCAUUAAGUUUAUUUCCAGUGAUUUACUGACAGUUCCAUCUGAGGAAAAGGUAAACAUUACGUAUUUGAGGCAUUACAUUUCCAUUCACUAAGUCAGAU